rnacentral:rRNA from 1 species
UGAGCAAUCUGCCCUUCUCAUCGGAAUAAGCGUUGGAAACGACGUCUAAUGCCGAAUACGACCUCCUUUCGCAUGAUCGGAGGUGGAAAGCUCCGGCGGAGAAGGAUGAGCUCGCGGCCUAUCAGCUAGUUGGUGUGGGUAAUAGCCCACCAAGGCGACGACGGGUAGCCGGCCUGAGAGGGUGACCGGCCACACUGGGACUGAGACACGGCCCAGACUCCUACGGGAGCAG